GACGUAGGGUGCGAGCGUUGUCCGGAUUUAUUGGGCGUAAAGAGCUCGUAGGCGGUUUGCCGCGUCUGCCGUGAAAGUCCGGGGCUCAACUCCGGAUCUGCGGUGGGUACGGGCAGACUAGAGUGAUGUAGGGGAGACUGGAAUUCCUGGUGUAGCGGUGAAAUGCGCAGAUAUCAGGAGGAACACCGGUGGCGAAGGCGGGUCUCUGGGCCGAUACUGACGCUGAGGAGCGAAAGCGUGGGGAGCGAACAGG
rnacentral:rRNA from 1 species